CGGUAAUUCCAGCUCCAAUAGCGUAUACUAAAGUUGUUGCAGUUAAAAAGCUCGUAGUUGGAUUUCUGCGGGGACGGAGCGGCCGGACGCAACUUGCGUCUCGAGCUAGCGCUUUCCCCACAUCCUGCCGCGAACCGUGCUACCAUUAGUUUGGUGGCGCUGGGGAUCGGCUCGAUUACUUUGAGAAAAAUAGAGUGUUCAAAGCAGGCCACACGCCUUGAAUAAGUUAGCAUGGAAUAAUGACUAAGGACUUUGGUUCUUUUCGUUGGUGUUCGGGACUGAAGUAAUGAUUGAUAGGGACAGUUGGGGCGGUCCGUAUUCCAAAGCGAGAGGUGAAAUUCUUAGACCUUCGGAAGACGAACAGCUGCGAAAGCGUUCCGCAAGGAUGUUCCCUUUGAUCAAGAACGAAAGUUGGGGGAUCGAAGACGAUCAGAUACCGUCGUAGUCUCAACUAUAAACUAUACCAGCUAGGGAUCGGCCAACGUUUAAUUAUUCGACUUGGUCGGCACCUUAUGAGAAAUCAAAGCAUCUGGGUUCCGGGGGGAGUAUGGUCGCAAGGCUGAAACUUAAAGGAAUUGACGGAAGGGCACCACCAGGCGUGGAGCCUGUGGCUUAAUUUGACUCAACACGGGAAAACUUACCAGGUCCAGACAUAGGAAGGAUUGACAGAUUGAUAGCUCUUUCUUGAUUCUGUGGGUGGUGGUGCAUGGCCGUUUUUAGUCGGUGAAGUGAUUUGUCUGCUUAAUUGCGUUAACGGACGAGACCCCAGCCUGCUAAAUAGCGCGGUCGAGCUUUGCUCGGCACGAGCUUCUUAGAGGGACCAUGAUGCGCGAUAGCACAAGGAAGUUUGGGGCAACAACAGGUCUGUGAUGCCCUUAGAUGUUCUGGGCCGCACACGGGCUACACUGGCGCCUGCAACGAGCAUAUCAGCUGGCCCGAGAGGGUCUUGGCUAAUCUUUGGAACCGGCGCCGUGCUUGGGAUUGACCAUUGCAAUUGUUGGUCAUGCAACGAGGAAUGCCUUGUAAACGCGAGUCAUCAGCUCGCAUUGAAUACGUCCCUGCCCCUUUGUACACACCGCCC
rnacentral:rRNA from 1 species